UUCAGCGCAUGUGACAAAUGAAAAUGCAUUUGAUUUGAUAGUAAACGUUUACAUUAGUCUACGAGACCAGUCUGGGCUGCCAUGAUUCAUGUGACACAUCUUGUCGUGAGACCCAGCUACGACGGGCUGGACACUGCACUCUCCCUGGAGACAUUUUCUGAAAAUGAAGUGUCAUCGUUGUCACACGCUUUGUGAGGAGGGACAGCAGUUUUGCUUGAGAUGCAACGCAAUCGUCGAGGAAGAGAGAGAGCCAGGCAGUCUAAAAGAUGUGACCUAUGACCGGGGUAGGAGUGGGGCGGCUGAAGACACCUUGCCAAUGGACAGAUCCGCAGAUGAAGAGG